rnacentral:lncRNA from 1 species
CUCUCUUACAAGCCUACUUUAAAUUGGAAAGCCUGUCUCGCUUGUUUCGGUGUGGUGAGUGAAAUGGAGAAGGCUAAACUUUUUCUUCCCACAUGCUCACUUCCUUGCUUGUUCGCUAGCUGCUGCAUCUGGCCCCUCAAGGGUAAAGUCAAGGGGAAAAGGAGAUUGAGAGGAAGGACAGUCUGUGAAUUGAACUACUUCUCAAAUCACUAUUCACAUCCUGGUAGAAGUCAAGCAAUGAAGAUGGCACAGAAACACAUCCCAAAUACUAUGAUACCAUAAAGUAUACUGUAGCAAUGCAUUGGCACACCCUCAUUUGAACAUUUGUCUCAGAAGAUUUUGACAGAAGAUAAAAUUGUCUGGUUUUUAUUUCAUUGGUUUCAUGAAAAUUUAUUUCACUGGUUUCAUGUCACAGGCCCAUGACUGUAUAAAGAGUCAUAAUCUUUACAAACACAACAAUGACUCACAGCGACAUGUUGCAAAGCUGUAAUCGAAAACACUGAUGUUGAUUUCAGAGGCCAUUAAUGGUGUUAAGAAGGCGCUUUUGUUAACCAAAUAAUUGAAUACUCGUAAUUACUUUUCAGUUCUAGUUCAGUUCUUGACACCAAAACAAGCCAUUUUCUUUACAUAGUGAAUGCAGAACUUGCCAGUAAGAACUUUCAUACUAAACUUCUAUGUAAAACAAAACAUGUCAAAAUCAGUAACUACUUUAAUGGAAUGGUAAAGAAUUUACUUAAACACAAAGGAAUGAAAAUAUCUCUGCAAAUAUGUCUAUUGACUUUUCAAAUUUGGUGACUUCUUUCGAAUUAAUUCCCUUACGUCUGUUCCUCAUCCACAUAAAAAUGACAAAAAUGAAAGAUAAUUUUCCAGCCUAUAAUUAAAUUUCUCCAUUGUUGGUAUAUGUUUUUUCAAAUACAUUUUUCAGUUUUCAUAAUUCAUAUGAGAAUUAUUAAAAGGGAGUUAGUUGCCUUUAGGACCUUAUUUGGAGCCUAAUUCUUAAAAAUUGUGUAAAAAUAAUUGUGACUUUUAAGAGACAAUUGGAAAUUUGAACCUGACCACAUUUUUGUGAUAUUAAGGAAUUUUAUUAAUUAUUUUCUAGGUGGGGGAAUGAUAUGAUGAUAUUCUUAAAAUAAUGUGUGGAUUGUUUAUUACAUUUCAACAUUUUCUUAAUCAUCAAA